UAGGGAAUCUUCCACAAUGGGCGAAAGCCUGAUGGAGCAACGCCGCGUGUGUGAUGAAGGCUUUCGGGUCGUAAAGCACUGUUGUAUGGGAAGAACAGCUAGAAUAGGAAAUGAUUUUAGUUUGACGGUACCAUACCAGAAAGGGACGGCUAAAUACGUGCCAGCAGCCGCGGUAAUACGUAUGUCCCGAGCGUUAUCCGGAUUUAUUGGGCGUAAAGCGAGCGCAGACGGUUUAUUAAGUCUGAUGUGAAAGCCCGGAGCUCAACUCCGGAAUGGCAUUGGAAACUGGUUAACUUGAGUGCAGUAGAGGUAAGUGGAACUCCAUGUGUAGCGGUGGAAUGCGUAGAUAUAUGGAAGAACACCAGUGGCGAAGGCGGCUUACUGGACUGCAACUGACGUUGAGGCUCGAAAGUGUGGGUAGCAAACAGGAUUAGAUACCCUGGUAGUCCACACCGUAAACGAUGAACACUAGGUGUUAGGAGGUUUCCGCCUCUUAGUGCCGAAGCUAACGCAUUAAGUGUUCCGCCUGGGGAGUACGACCGCAAGGUUGAAACUCAAAGGAAUUGACGGGGACCCGCACAAGCGGUGGAGCAUGUGGUUUAAUUCGAAGCAACGCGAAGAACCUUACCAGGUCUUGACAUCCUUUGAAGCUUUUAGAGAUAGAAGUGUUCUCUUCGGAGACAAAGUGACAGGUGGUGCAUGGUCGUCGUCAGCUCGUGUCGUGAGAUGUUGGGUUAAGUCCCGCAACGAGCGCAACCCUUAUUGUUAGUUGCCAGCAUUCAGAUGGGCACUCUAGCGAGACUGCCGGUGACAAACCGGAGGAAGGCGGGGACGACGUCAGAUCAUCAUGCCCCUUAUGACCUGGGCUACACACGUGCUACAAUGGCGUAUACAACGAGUUGCCAACCCGCGAGGGUGAGCUAAUCUCUUAAAGUACGUCUCAGUUCGGAUUGUAGUCUGCAACUCGACUACAUGAAGUCGAAAUCGCUAGUAAUCGCGGAUCAGCACGCCGCGGUGAAUACGUUCCC
rnacentral:rRNA from 1 species